rnacentral:lncRNA from 1 species
CCUGAUCUCCACCUGAUGCCUCCCCGAAGGGCAUCCACCAGGUGGUCAAUGGCCUCCGCGACUAGAUCUCAGCGAGCUCCACAAGCCCCGACUUCAUCUCCAGUUUCCCCGGCUCCUCCUCCGACGACGAUGGCAGUCGGCAUGGAACAGUUAGACCUGCUGGUUCAAACAGGUCAGAGGCCUCACCGAAGCAGUGCAGACCAU